GAUGAACGCUGGCGGCGUGCCUAACACAUGCAAGUCGAGCGAUUCUCUUCGGAGAAGAGCGGCGGACGGGUGAGUAACGCGUGGGUAACCUGCCCUGUACACACGGAUAACAUACCGAAAGGUAUGCUAAUACGAGAUAAUAUGCUUUUAUCGCAUGGUAGAAGUAUCAAAGCUCCGGCGGUACAGGAUGGACCCGCGUCUGAUUAGCUAGUUGGUAAGGGAACGGCUUACCAAGGCGACGAUCAGUAGCCGAACUGAGAGGGUGAUCGGCCACAUUGGAACUCAUACACGGUCCAAACUCCUACGGGAGGCAGCAGUGGGGAAUAUUGAACAAUGGGCGAAAGCCUGAUGCAGCAACGCCGCGUGAGCGAUGAAGGCCGUCGGGUCGUAAAGCUCUGUCCUCAAGGAAGAUAAUGACGGUACUUGAGGAGGAAGCCCCGGCUAACUACGUGCCAGCCGCCGCAGUAA
rnacentral:rRNA from 1 species